UUUGAAAAAGAAUAAAAAGGUGAAAGAAACCAUCCUUAGGCCUUUCACAGAAUAUAAAGGGCCCAUCCUAGAAUAAAUAAAAUGCAUGGCCGUUUAGUUUCUCUAAACUUCUCUCUAAUCUUCUUUUUUCUUACUGAGCCAAAAGUUCAGGUGGAUGAUGCUUGGCUCGAGACCGUUCAAUAUAUCAUUGUCAUGAUAUGAUGAUAAUGAUAAUGAUGUCGGACCAGGCUUCAUUCCCCUCAACUUAAACGUUUUGCGUCUCAAUCUUCAGCGCCAACCGUUAACUUGAUAACCUAAAUCUCCGGAAGAAAGAAAUGAUAUCGAAGUUAAUGACAGCUUUAACUGAUGGAGGGGUAUCUCUUUUUCCUUUUUCUAUCUUUUUAUCAAUUUCGUUGAAAAAUCUUGUUGGAAUCAGUGUGGAAAUUUCCUCAUAUAACUUUUCUUUUUCUUUUUACAAUUUAAUUUCCAAUAUAUUUCAACUCGUUUCUAUAUGGUGAUAAAGAAACUACCAUCAUAAGAGUGGACUACUGGGAAAACUUAUUCGAUUCUUUGGCGGAUUAAGUCCAGAUUUUUGGUGGACGAUCAUUAGAGGCUAAUCGGAUUUUUCUCGAAGGCAUUUGGAUACCAAAGUCUCAAAAAAAAGGCCUUUGAGUGGCAAGUAAAACACACGCGCCUAGAAACUUUUCUCUCUACACUUAGUUUUCGCUUCUUCUCGGGUGGAGGAGUUAUGGCUUCUGGCGGCUCCGACGGUGGUCUUAGCCGCUCUCCAACUCACGGAAAUCGCUUAACAAGAUGGUGUAAGUACAGAUCCAGUGUUUUUUUGGUUGUUCUCUUUGGUCUCUAAGCGGACGGGUUUCUGGUGCGAAUCCCCCAUGAGAGACCAGUGGCUCUGGUGUCUCGUAGUUAGUAUGGUAGGCGGUUCCUGUUUUGAGGACGGCGGGGAAAUCUACCGGAAAUCUCUUGUCAGGCAUCAGGGCAGCGGUUCUUCGUAUUCUGAUAGGAGAAAGUAGAUAUGGGGUCGGCGGCUCCUACUCUCGGGAUGGCGGUUCCCCUUUGUAAGGUUUUCUUUCGAUCUGGUCUUAUCUCCACCGCUUUCGAAUCAGAGAGAACUGUAGUGUCUCAGACUUUGAAGCGACAUCACCAGUGUAGAUUUCGGCGGCUAGGGUUAGGAGUCGUUCCAUGAGAAUGGCGUGUUGGGACAGCAGGACGCCUCUGUAGGCGACGGCGUUGACGGAGACUGACGACAGAUCUAUGGCUGGAUUUGGACACUCCGGUCAAGAGACGUCCCGACUUCCUGAUUUGCUUUCAUCGAUCUGUGUUCAACAGAAUUGUUGGAAGCUUUGCUUUUCUUUUCUUCUUCCUCCAACCUUAUACUCUCUCUAUUUGCUUGAUUUGAUACUUGAUGUUAGUCAAUUUCACAUGUAACCUAGUUCUACUGUUUAACCAUUGUUCACAUGUAACCUAGUUUUCCCUUUAGGAUUGAUGAUUA